rnacentral:tRNA from 1 species
UAGGGCUUAAUUUAAUUAAAAAAUAUACUGUUGUCAACAGUAAAAUACUUUAGGGUAGCU